UACGGAGGGUGCAAGCGUUAUCCGGAUUUACUGGGUUUAAAGGGUGCGUAGGUGGGUAGGUAAGUCAGUGGUGAAAUCUUCGAGCUUAAACUCGGAAACUGCCAUUGAUACUAUUUAUCUUGAAUACUCUGGAGGUAAGCGGAAUAUGUCGAUGUAGCGGUGAAAUGCUUAGAUAUGACAUAGAACACCAAUUGCGAAGGCAGCUUACUAC
rnacentral:rRNA from 1 species